CCUACGGGUGGCAGCAGUGAGGAAUAUUGGUCAAUGGGCGCAGGCCUGAACCAGCCAAGUCGCGUGAGGGAAGACUGCCCUAUGGGUUGUAAACCUCUUUUAUAAGGGAAGAAUAAUGACUACGUGUAGUCAGAUGCCCGUACCUUAUGAAUAAGCAUCGGCUAACUCCGUGCCAGCAGCCGCGGUAAUACGGAGGAUGCGAGCGUUAUCCGGAUUUAUUGGGUUUAAAGGGUGCGCAGGCGGCCUGUUAAGUCAGCGGUAAAAGCCCGGGGCUCAACCCCGGCGAGCCGUUGAAACUGGCGGGCUGGAGUUGGAGAGAAGUACGCGGAAUGCGCGGUGUAGCGGUGAAAUGCUUAGAUAUCGCGCAGAACCCCGAUUGCGAAGGCAGCGUACCGGCUCCACACUGACGCUGAGGCACGAAAGCGUGGGUAUCGAACAGGAUUAGAUACCCGAGUAGUC
rnacentral:rRNA from 1 species